rnacentral:rRNA from 1 species
GCUUGCUGGGUGGAUGAGUGGCGAACGGGUGAGUAACACGUGGGUAAUCUGCCCUGUACUCUGGGAUAAGCCUGGGAAACUGGGUCUAAUACCGGAUAUGACUUCCUGCCGCAUGGUGGGGGGUGGAAAGUUCCGGCGGUACAGGUUGAGCCCGCGGCCUAUCAGCUUGUUGGUGGGGUGAUGGCCUACCAAGGCGGUGACGGGUAGCCGGCCUGAGAGGGCGACCGGCCACACUGGGACUGAGACACGGCCCAGACUCCUACGGGAGGCAGCAGUGGGGAAUAUUGCACAAUGGGCGAAAGCCUGAUGCAGCGACGCCGCGUGAGGGAUGACGGCCUUCGGGUUGUAAACCUCUUUCGCCAGGGACGAAGCGAGAGUGACGGUACCUGGAGAAGAAGCACCGGCUAACUACGUGCCAGCAGCCGCGGUAAUACGUAGGGUGCAAGCGUUGUCCGGAAUUAUUGGGCGUAAAGAGCUCGUAGGCGGUGUGUCACGUCGGCCGUGAAAACCUCAGGCUUAACUUGGGGCUUGCGGUCGAUACGGGCAUCACUUGAGUUCGGUAGGGGAGACUGGAAUUCCUGGUGUAGCGGUGGAAUGCGCAGAUAUCAGGAGGAACACCGGUGGCGAAGGCGGGUCUCUGGGCCGAUACU